AGAAUGGCCACCACGGCGUGCUCUGUGUUUCCUUCAUGCUGGGUUAAGGAACCUGUUUGCUGUGCUGGUAGCUGCAGCUGCAGACCUGGGGAGGAUGUCUGGGAGAUGCAGAAAGUGGACAUUUUGCAAAAUCACAUGAGAGAGUACCCAGCUCAGCUCGCCUCAGUCCUGCUGUCUUGCUUCCCCAUGGAAACGCCGUGCUGCACCAUCUGCCAGUGCCUCCCUGCAGCGCUUUGAGCUCUGACCCCGGCCCCAUCUGAAAGAGAAUAAACAAAUAAUGAAGAAUGUUCUGGAUGCUUCACCACAUGGAUACCAGCAGACCAUAAUCUGUGUUUUUGUUCUGAGACAAAGAUCAGAAGAGAAAAAAGGAACUUCUGCUUGUCUGGCUGUGCUUUUUGCCUAACAC
rnacentral:lncRNA from 1 species